CUUGCCGGUGCGGUAAUAGUUGAGCACGUAAGCAAAGACGCCCGGGUGCCGGUCGAAGAAGAACUCGCAGCUCCCGCCGCCGCUGCUGCCGCUGCCGCCUGCACCGCCGCCAUCGGACUCGGGUCGGCCCCCGCCGUCGGGAUCCGCCAGCCAGGCGAGGCGAGUGCCCGGUAGGGUGCGCAGGGUGCUGCGGUAGGUCUCAUGUCGCGUGCCGCCCACGUUGAUGAUGAUCUUCUCCGACGCCUCGCCCUUGGCCAUCUCCUCCUUCAGACAUGUUUUGGACGGAGGCUUGUUCCCCGACUUGCGCCCACGCUUCAGGCAGCCUCCAUGUCCAUCUGGAUGACGUAAGGAGGAUUUUAAGGCAGAAAUACAAGGCAACUGACACCUGCUUCCGACACCUGCGUACCAUCCAACUUCCAGGCUAUCGUGGGAAAACAAGACAACGUCCUGGUGUGCUCCACAGAAAGGUUAAAAGCUUGGAGCAAAUGCAAGGGAUUGUCUGCAAAAGUCUCAUUAAUGAGGUCAGAAAACCAAAGUGACUAUGGUCUUUGAGGAUUUGUACUAAUAUGCAGAGGAGGUGGGUAUUGCCCUGGACUGUAGCCAGAAACACACAUUUGCUGGCACCUCUUUUGUGUCCGGUCCUUAAUGUCCGCAUUUCAGACUUUGGCUGGCUUUGGCUUUGCUGCAGCAAAGAAGAAAUAUCCCAAGUGUGACUGGGAAGAGAAGACCUGGGACUGGCCAGAAGCCGGAGUGAGAGAGGAAGAGCUGUAGCACAGAUGUUAAAGAAUUGACAGAUGAACAGCUUUCCAGUUGUGUCCUGGCAGACUCCCUUGGGGUCUCUCCCACUUUGCAUUUUUCAGACUGGCUGAAUUCAGUCAUUCCAAGAAGAGUGAGAAAUUGAAGGGAGUCGGGUGUUGGGGGGAAUGAAAAAAACCAACAACAUCCUAGCAUCCCACAGGCAAGUCAUUUGUUUAUCCAGGGACUAUUUCUUGAGUACCUACUGUGUGCCAGAAGCUGUUCAGGCAAUGAAAUCAAUGAAUUAAACAGAACCCUACCUGCUCUGCUCCCCCCAA